rnacentral:lncRNA from 1 species
CAGCUGAUGGGCAUUUGGGUUGCAUCCACUUUUUGGCUAUUCUGAAGAGUGUUACUGUGAACAUCCAUGCACAAAUUUUUAUGUGGAGGCUUUCUAUUUCAUCCAGGCAGUGCCCUUAUCUGAUCUGGAGUGGGUUUAUCUCUGGGAGAGCUACUGAAGUGCCUGACAGGAGAGGACACUAAGAGUACCUCCAGUCUCCAACUGCCUCCUCCGGCAGAACUGAGCAAGUCCUAACCAUGCCAAAAACAUCAUUAUCUCUGGUUCCGUCUUAGUCCCUGCACACCCUAGGAUUCAAGGACUCAAGUAAGUUGGGGAGGGGAACAUCUUUUCACCCCUGGAAAACCUUGUCUCCUCCCAAGCCCUGGGAGGGGAGAACUGCUGCUAAUGAGAUGCUGG